rnacentral:rRNA from 1 species
CUCCCUACGGGGGGCAGCAGUGGGGAAUAUUGCACAAUGGGGGAAACCCUGAUGCAGCGACGCCGCGUGAGUGAUGAAGUAUUUCGGUAUGUAAAGCUCUAUCAGCAGGGAAGAUAAUGACGGUACCUGACUAAGAAGCUCCGGCUAAAUACGUGCCAGCAGCCGCGGUAAUACGUAUGGAGCAAGCGUUAUCCGGAUUUACUGGGUGUAAAGGGAGCGCAGACGGCAGGGCAAGUCUGAUGUGAAAGUCCGGGGCUCAACCCCGGCGAGCCGUUGAAACUGGCUGUCUUGAGAUGGCGAGAGGG